GACAGUGCUGCACAUUCUUUCUACCAAUUAUGAGACAGUGCUGCCCUUUCUUUCUACCAAUUCUGAGACAGUGCUGCCAAUCAUUUGGUGCAUAAUGUGCACAACCCUUUGACAUUUAUCUAAAGUCCAUUGAGAUAAGCCAUCCCAUAGGCGAAAUCUUAAGCCACAACGGCAUUACUGGAUUUUCUUGUUAGAUUUAACACCUUCCACGUACCCCUCCUCCUCCUCCGGCAGUCGUAAAUCACAAUAGCAGUCUGAAAAACAAUACCAUAAAGGGACCCGUGGAGAAUAUGCAUAAAUAAAUAAAAUAAAACAAAAAUUGUUGUAUUUUAAAGCUUAUCUUUUUCUUUUUGAAUUUCGACACUGAUAAGAUUAUGGCUGUGUGGAGGUGGGGUGGUGCCAGAUUAGUCGAAGGGAAUGGUGGCUUCUGUUUCUCUGUUUCGCUCUGCCAAAAAUUGCAGCAGCGGCGGCGUUUCUUUCAUUCAAAAAAGUCGCUACUCUGUCGGGCGGCUGGCAGGUGGUUCGUUGGUUCCAAACGUUCCGCUCUGGCAUUGAUGAUUCAAUUCCAAACGUUCCGCAAAGGCAGCGACGCACAUCGCACAUUAAAAAGCUAACUUUCGCUCUCUGUCGCUGGCGCUCUUUUGCUCUCUGUCUCACUCUCUUUCUCUAUGGCUGUGCUUUUUGUUGUGUGUAUGUGUGCGUGCGUCAGCGAUAAUAAUUUGGAAUUUGAGUCUCCCCCGGCAUCAGCAGCACCGCACCAGCCGCCGCAAUGCCUGGCGCUGGCACUGGCACUGCCUCUGGCUUUGGCUUUGGGGUUCUGGCGCUCUGGUGUUGCUGUUUCAGUUUCAUUUAGCGGGCGACCUCACCAGAGCACAUGUUGCUUUUGCGCGCUUACCGGCGGUUAACAGUACAAGCAGAGCAGAAGCAUAAGCAGAGCAGACGCAGAACGAAGCAAGGCAGAGAACGAGAACAGCAGAAGGAAGCAGGGCGUAGAGGAAGCAGUUGAAAAUAAAGCGGCAAUGUGACUCUGAAGCGCCGCGAGUGCAAAAACAAAACAAAAACAAAAAC